AUGCAAGGGGUGAAUACCUUGAAACAUGGAUACAUCUGGAGUGUAGGGGAUGGUGAAAAAAUAAACAUUUGGAGGGAUGCUUGGGUUCCUAACUCACCAUCCAGAAUGAUUAAUACCCCAAGGGGUAACCAGUUACUAUCAAAUGUGAGUGAUUUAAUUGAUCCAGCUACAUGUCACUGGGAUGUGCCACUUGUGGAGCAAACCUUCUGGCCGAUUGAUGUGGAACUGGUCCUUGCUUUACCACUACCCACACAUGAUAUGAGUGAUUUUGUAGCAUGGAGUUUGAAUAAACAUGGA
rnacentral:rRNA from 1 species